CGCACGCACCGCGGGGUGCGGACCCCUCUUCCCUGCGCUUCCUGCUCUCCCCUCCAUUUCCCCAGCACCGUUUCCCAAGCGUCCCCGGGAAGCCGGGAGAGUUUGUGCCCACCCCCCAGCAGACCACCCCCGGUUGUGGCUCCCGACUCCUGCCCAGCAUUCCAACUCUUUGUCAUCCCUGCAUCCCUCCUCUGUGCCGCCGGCUCCGCACCCCGCUCCGGCUGCCGCGGGCUUGGAGCUGGAGCCGGAGCCGUGUUUGGUGGCCAGCAGGAGCUGACCCACUUGGGAGAGUUUGCGGGAGGAAUCCCAGGGCUGCUCUGGGAAGUUCCAGCUCCCUUCGUUCUGUGAUUGUGUGCGCGGACGCGGGGCCGUGGUGGGGACGCGGGGCUGUGGUGGGAACGCUCGCAGAGUCGUUCUCUGGACGUUUGUUUGGAUGUGGAUUUGGGAAGGAAGGCUGGCUCGGGAGUCUGCAGCGCUGCCGUUCAUCACCGCCUGCUCUCGCUUUCCCUCUGGAAUUACGCUGAGCUGGGCAGCCCGGCUCUGCCGAGGGAAUGCUGCCGGCGGAGCGAUGGAGCGAGGCUGGCCCCGCGCUCCUCGGUGCCUCCUCCGCGACACCGGAGCACAACCGGCUCAUCCCGUCAUUCCCUCGCCGCUGGAUGGUGCCUUCGGAUACCGCAGAGCGUUUCUCUAGCUAAACACACCUUUUCUUGGAAUUCUUUUUUUUUUUUUUCCUCUAUUAGCCAAGAAAAACUUUGCAACUUUCCUUCGCUGUCGGAGAGGAGCCACUGCCGCUGCUGCGUUUCAUUUUGUUUUUUUAAUUCGAGGUCACGUGUGCGUUGACAGUGUCUUUGAUUCCAAGCGAUGGUCUCGUCUCCAGCUUAGGAAGAGCUUCUGAGCUCUUCCCUCUGUUGUUUUCUCUCUGUUCAGGAACAAAGAGAUUUUUCUGCCUUUAAUUAAAAGGAAUAUUAAUUCCCUGCUCCUUUGUCGAGCGACUUGAAGACACUCUGCAAACAUCCGUCCGCUCGGCACCGCCGUGGGGUGAGCUCUGCUGUGGUACAGGGCAUGGAGAAAUGGGGGAACCAUCCCGAAAUGCCACGGCAAACACGGAGCAGCAGCCGGGGAGGAUGCUGACAGCCACGGUGCUCGGAUAACGCGGAGACCGCGGCUGCCGCCAUGCCCGACUCUCCGGCCGAUGUGAAGACGCAGGCUCGCUCCACGCCGCCCAGCAUGCCCCCGCCACCGCCCGCUGUCACCCAGGGAGCCACGCGCCACCCCUCCUUCACCCCCAGCACCAAUCGAGACGCUGGCCCUCCGACGUUUCUGCCUCGCGGCCGUUUUCAUGGUUGCUUGAAAUGGUCGAUGGUCUGUCUUUUGAUGAACGGGAGCAGCCACUCACCCACCGCCAUCAACGGGGCUCCGUCCACCCCCAACGGCUUCAGCAACGGCCCGGCCACCUCCUCCAGCGCCUCCCUGUCCACCCACCAGCUCCCUCCAGCCUGUGGUGCCCGCCAGCUCUCCAAGCUCAAGCGCUUCCUCACCACCCUGCAGCAGUUUGGGAACGACAUCUCCCCCGAGAUCGGGGAGCGGGUGCGCACCCUCGUCCUGGGGCUCGUGAACUCCACCCUCACCAUCGAGGAGUUCCACGCCAAGCUCCAAGAGGCCACCAACUUCCCGCUGCGACCCUUCGUCAUCCCCUUCCUCAAGGCCAACCUGCCGCUGCUGCAGCGGGAGCUGCUGCACUGCGCCCGCAUGGCCAAGCAGACCCCGGCCCAGUACCUGGCCCAGCACGAGCAGCUGCUGCUGGACGCCAACGCCUCCUCUCCCAUCGACUCCUCCGAGCUGCUCCUGGAGGUGGGCGAGAGUGGCAAGAGGAGGACGCCAGACAGGACCAAAGAGAACGGUUUGGACCGAGACCCCCUGCACCCCGAGCACCUCAGCAAGCGGCCGUGCACCAUGAGCCCAGCGCAGCGCUACAGCCCCAGCAACGGGCUGAGCCACCCCCCGAACGGGCUGGGGCACCCUGCUGGGCCCCCCCUGCCCCAGCACUACCGCCUGGAGGACAUGGCCAUGGCACACCACUACCGGGACACCUACCGGCACCCCGACCCCCGGGAGCUGCGCGAGCGCCAGCGCCCCGCCGCUGUGCACGGGACGCGGCAGGAGGAGGUGAUCGACCACCGGCUCACGGACCGGGAGUGGGCGGAGGAGUGGAAACACCUCAAUAAUCUGCUGAACUGCAUCAUGGACAUGGUGGAGAAGACGCGGCGGUCGCUGACGGUGCUGCGGCGGUGCCAGGAGGCCGAUCGCGAGGAGCUCAACCACUGGAUCCGGCGCUACAGCGACGCCGAGGACAUGAAGAAAGGCAGCCCCCCCUCUGCCCGGCCCCACAACUCCUCCUCCUCCUCCUCCUCCACCGAGGCUCCCCAGUUAGACGCUCACCGGGACUUCGCACCGCGGCCGCUCUCCGGGUACAUGCCCGAGGAGAUCUGGAGGAAAGCUGAAGAAGCCGUGAACGAGGUGAAGCGCCAGGCCAUGUCCGAGCUGCAGAAGGCCGUGUCGGACGCCGAGAGGAAAGCCCACGAGCUGAUCACGACCGAGCGCGCCAAGAUGGAGCGGGCCCUGGCCGAGGCCAAGCGCCAGGCGUCCGAGGAUGCCCUCACCGUCAUCAACCAGCAGGAGGACUCCAGCGAGAGCUGCUGGAACUGCGGGCGCAAGGCGAGCGAGACGUGCAGCGGCUGCAACACCGCGCGCUACUGCGGCUCCUUCUGCCAGCACAAGGAUUGGGAGAAGCACCACCACGUCUGCGGGCAGACUCUGCAGGGGCUGCCGGGCCCCGCCGCCCCCGGGCCGGGCCAGCCCGACGCGGUGCCCGCCGUGGCCAGCAGCCCCAGCGAGGCGGGCUCGGUGGCCGCGUCCCGCGCCGGCACUCCGGCCACGCCGGCGCCGCUGGACAGCGCGUCCCGCUGAGCCGGCCCCGCUGCCGGAGCCAGGACUGCACCCGGUGCCGUUUCCUCAGCUACCUGACUCGUGUGACCUCCGAAACGACCUCGCUAGCUCUCACAACUAAUCCUCACGGAUCCUCAAACUGGGCUUUAAGUGGAGUUAAGGCAAAUACCGGUCUCUGUUCUUUCUUCAGUCUUUGUUUUGGCUUUUUUUCGGUUGGUUUUCUGUCGGUUGGGGGAUUGCGGUUUGGGAUUUUUUGGGUUUUUUGGCUGGUUGUUUUUUUUUUUUUUCCUUUUUUGCUCUUUGGAUGAGGGAUUUGGCUCCAGCUUCACCAUGCAGUGCUGUGGGGAGAGACCAACCUGAUCCCAUUCCCAGACAGCACUUGGAGGAGGAAAGAACCUUCUUUUCUUCACUUCUCUCUUCCUAUAUUUUUUUCUUUUUACCUUCUUUUUUUUUUUUUUUUGUAAAAAAAAUAAAGAAAAUAAAAAAGAAAACGUCGGACUCUUUGGCUUUAAGUAAGAAAUUGUAAAAAAGGAAAAAAAAAAGAAAAAAAAUAAAAAAGAAAAAUCCAAAAACCAGACGACGCGUGACGGACGCUCACCUGUAACUACCUUGCUAGCUAGCCAAGAACAGACCAGACUCACCUCUGCUCCAAAGGAAAUCCAAAACCAAGGAAGAUCCAAACGUCUCUCCACUGCCAAAGUUCGUUUCGUUCUGUUGUCGCUUCCUUCCCCUCCCCACAAGGAUGGAUGGACACGCCCCUGGGGCUUUAAAGAAUUUCUAUUAAAAUAAAGCAAAAAAAAAAAAAAAAAAAAAAAGGUUUUUUUUUACUGAAACCUCAAUCCCCAAGGUGUGGGAGGGGGAGAUGGGGCUGAGAACUGCAGCCAGAGCUGGCACAUCUCUACCUCUGCCCGCCACCGCCCUGGAAAAGGAGAACAAAAGGAGAUUUUGGAAAAAAAAAAAAAGAGAAUAAUAAAAAAGAAUAAAAAAAAGGAAAUUAAAAGACGGAUUUUGGGUUUGUCCCUCCCCGAAGCUGUCGGGGGACCCCCCCAUCCCUUCACUGCCAGGCUGCUCCCACACCCCACGCUGGAUUUGUUUCACAAGGAUUUUUAAGAGGAAAAGGAAAAGGAAAGGAAAAGGAACGCUGCCUCCUUCCUGGCCAGGACAAUGUGGAUUAUUUGGGAUUCUUGCCUCGCUGGAGCGGCGCGGAGGACGGAAGUGCAAUACGGAAAGUCCGAGCUCCGAGCGGAGGCAGCAGUGCUGUGCGCUAAUGUGAAUGUAAAUAGUGUCUGCAGAGGUCCAAAAAUGAAUAAUAAUAAUAAUGCUCGUGAUAAUAAUAAGAGACGUUUGCCAAAUAAAGGAUGAGGAGGAAGCGUGGAGCUGUGGCGCUGGCCGGAGCGAGGCCUGGCAUCGAGAGGAGCUGGAGAUUUUCUGCAUCUGCAAAACCCAUCCUGUGUGUUUUCCGUAGGGGAGGAAGAGGAGGGAAGGGCUCCGGGCCUGUGGGAGGGGUUGUGCUGGUGGUCACAGGGCUGGGCUGGGCCACAGCAGAGCUUGGGACACGCCGAGGGUGAUGUCACAGCCCUGUGCCAGCACCCUGCCCUGCCGGGGGUUCUGUGCACCCCAAAAUCUUGGUGCAUCACCUUGGGUGAAUUCUGUGCACCCCAAAAUCUUGGUGCAUCACCCUGGGUGAAUUCUGUGCAAUCUGAGACCUUGAUGCUUCUCCCUGGGGGGUUUCUGUGCACCCCAAGAUCUCUCUGAAUCCUCCCAGGGUUCUUUUUUCUGAGCUCUCAGUGCAUCCCCCCAGGAGGUUUCUGUGCACCCCGAGACCUUGCUGCAUCCUCCUGGGAAGGUUCUGUGCACCCCAAGGUCCUGGUGCAUCCUCCUGGGAAGGUUCUGUGCACCCCAAGGUCCUGGUGCAUCCCCCCAGGGGGUUCCUGUGCACCCCAAGGUCCUGGUGCAUCCCCCCAGGGGGUUCCUGUGCACCCCAAGGUCCUGGUGCAUCCUCCUGGGAAGGUUCUGUGCACCCCAAGGUCCUGGUGCAUCCCCCCAGGGGGUUCCUGUGCACCCCAAGGUCUUGACCCAACCCCGGGGAUGUUUCUGUGCCCCCCAAGACCUCGGUGCCCCCCCUGGGUGGUUUCUGUGCCCCCCACCCCUGGGAGCUUUGCCGGGUGCCCCUCCCGUGACUGUUCACUUUAUUUAUGGUGUGACAUAUGUAAUAUUGUCUAUUUUUCUUACGUUUCCUGAGAAGAGGUAAUAUAUAAGAGUAUUGCAGCUGCCCCUGCUCGCCCGGGUGUCCGGCCUGUCCCUGCCCUCCCGCCUGUCCCCUCCUGUCCCCUCCUGUCCCCGCCUGUCCCCGCUCCUGCCGGGGCUCUGCCUCUCUACCUCCACCUCGCCGGGAAACCGCGGGCGAGAGCACUUCCACAGGGACUGCUCUCCUUUCCACUCCACUCCCUGCUGGUUUGCUUUUUUGGAAUUAUUAUGAUUUUCUUCCUUUUUUUUUUUUUUAAUUUUUUUUUCUUUUUUUUGAUAAAAAUAAAACUACCCUACAGAACCUUGCAUUGAAACCAAAAGCCGAGGGAGGGGAGGGAGGGGACGGCGGUGACGGCCGGCACAGCCUCACGGGUGGCCGAACCAGAACGACAGCUUUAAAUGUGAGAAUUCCCAAAAAAAAAAUGUGUGCUGCGGGGAGGACGGAGCGGCCGCGGGGCUGCAGUGAUGCUGUGCUGUGGGGGCUUCCUCCGGAAUGGUGUUUUUGGGGUGUGGGGGGACCAAGGCACGCGUGCCACGUGCUGUGCCCCUUUGGUGGCUUUGUGGCACCUUGGAGGUGGCGGUGGAUGAGCUGGCACAGCGCACGGGGUGCUCACAGCUCCCGGGUCCCUGCUCCCAUCACGGCUGGGGCAGGGGACGGUGUUGGGGACACGGGGACAGCGGUGCCCGUGGGUAGGCAGAGCCCGGGGUCCCGGGUGUGGCUGUGUCACCGGGCUGGGGAGGUGACAGCAGGGACGUGGCUCUGGUGCCAGCCGCGGCACCGUGGUCCCCUCUGCAGCCCUUUCCUCACGUUCCCAGCCCAAAAUCCCAGCUGAAACCAAAGCGCCGCGUCCCGGCGGGGCUGGAGGGGGUCCCGCACCUGCCUGGCUCCUGCUCCAUCCCUGCCAGAGCCCCCCGAGCUCCCCCUGCAGCAUCCCCUCCUCGUCCUCCUCCUCCUCCUCCGGUGGCUGCUGAGGUCCCCCCCUUCUCCUCGGGGUGCCUCUCUGCACCCCAGUGUGUCCGAGGCUGGGGACAAGAUGCCACUGUGUCCCCAGGUGCCAGGCACUGUGAUGGGGUGUCUCCCCUGGGGGCUCCUCCGAUGUCACCGAGCGCCACGGCCCCGGGAGGGGGAGGUCGUGCCAGUGUCCCCCCUCCCUCCCGGGGAUCGCUUCCCCCAUUCCUCGCGGGGCUGAGCCCUGCUCCUGCUGCCCUGCCAGCCCUGGCAUGGGGACACUGGGACACGGGGGGCCCUGAGGGGCUGGAAACCAGAGAGCCCCCCGCCGGGGCCAGGCGUGGGGCGUGGGGCCAGCCCAGAGAGAUGACGUGGUAGGACUUUCCUUCGGCAUGCUGUCCCCCCUUGCUGUUCCCCGCUUUCUCUAAGUGUACUGUAUGUUUGACCUGUGAAAGAUGUAAACUUUAUGAUUCAGGUUAUGUCUGUUCUUAACUCUGUAUCUGUGUAAUAAAGACAAUUUAAUAUCAA